UCCGGUUGAUCCUGCCAGAGGCCGCUGCUAUCCGGCUGGGACUAAGCCAUGGGAGUCAUGGGGCGCGGGCCCUUCGGGGUUCGCGCACCGGCGGACGGCUCAGUAACACGUGGCCAACCUGCCCUCGGGAGGGGGAUAACCCCGGGAAACUGGGGCUAAACCCCCAUAGGGGAUGGGUGGUGGAAUUCCCCCAUCCCCGAAAGUGUGCGGUUGCCGUAAGGCGCCGCACAGCCCGAGGAUGGGGCUGCGGCGGAUUAGGUAGUUGGCGGGGUAACGGCCCGCCAAGCCGAAGAUCCGUACGGGCCAUGAGAGUGGGAGCCCGGAGAUGGCCCCUGAGACAAGGGGCCAGGCCCUACGGGGCGCACCAGGCGCGAAACCUCCGCAAUGCGGGAAACCGCGACGGGGUCAGCCGGAGUGCCCGCGCAUCGCGCGGGCUGUCGGGGAGCCUAAACAGCUCCCCAUAGCAAGGGCCGGGCAAGGCCGGUGGCAGCCGCCGCGGUAAUACCGGCGGCCCGAGUGGCGGCCACUAUUAUUGGGCCUAAAGCGUCCGUAGCCGGGCGGGUAAGUCCCCCGGGAAAUCUGGCGGCUUAACCGUCAG
rnacentral:rRNA from 1 species